AUACGGAGGAUCCAAGCGUUAUCCGGAUUUAUUGGGUUUAAAGGGAGCGUAGGUGGACGUAUAAGUCAGUUGUGAAAGUUUGCGGCUCAACCGUAAAAUUGCAGUUGAUACUGUAUGUCUUGAGUGUACAAGGGGUGGGCGGAAUUCGUGGUGUAGCGGUGAAAUGCUUAGAUAUCACGAGGAACUCCGAUUGCGAAGGCAGCUCACUGGGGUACAACUGGCACUGAGGCUCGAAAGUGUGGGUAUC
rnacentral:rRNA from 1 species